rnacentral:rRNA from 1 species
GAUGAACGCUUGCGGCAGGCUUAACACAUGCAAGUCGAGGGGUAACGAUAUCUUCGGAUAGGCGACGACCGGCGGACGGGUGCGUAACACGUAUGCAACCUACCUUGUACAGGAGGAUAGCCCAGAGAAAUUUGGAUUAAUACUCCAUAGUAUUAUCGAAUCGCAUGAUUUGAUAAUUAAAACUCCGGUGGUACAAGAUGGACAUGCGUCCCAUUAGCUAGUUGGUAAGGUAACGGCUUACCAAGGCAACGAUGGGUAGGGGUUCUGAGAGGAUGAUCCCCCANACUGGUACUGAGACACGGACCAGACUCCUACGGGAGGCAGCAGUGAGGAAUAUUGGUCAAUGGGCGCAAGCCUGAACCAGCCAUGCCGCGUGCAGGAAGACGGCCCUAUGGGUUGUAAACUGCUUUUUCUGUAGGAAGAAUAUUAUCUACGUGUAGAUAACUGACGGUACUACAGGAAUAAGGACCGGCUAAACUCCGUAGCCAGCAGCCGUACGG